rnacentral:ncRNA from 1 species
CAGUUUGAUUCUGACUGAGAAAUUAACUUUUACCAACCAAAAUACAUGUAAAUUUCUUUAUUCCCGCAAUAAAUUUAGUCUAAAUGAUUUAAUAAAUGUAUUCAGACAUACUAAAUACAGUAGGGCGCCACAGUAAAUAACACUUUUUAAUUUGAAAAAUCAAGAAAAGAGUAUGGUAUAAGGGCUGGCAAAAUUCGUGCCAGCUGCCGCGGUUAGACGAAAAGCCCAAGUUAAUAAAAUAUAAACUAAAUUAAUGAUAAGUUAAACAAUAACAAAAGUCUAAUUUUUAAAAUCCAAGACCCACAUCUAUCAAAUAACAAUGAAAUCAUAAACUAAAACGUGGAUUAGAUACCCACCUAUUCAUGACAUAAAUAAUAGUUGAAUAUUACGAACAAUAGUUUAAAAUUCAAAGAUUUUGGCGGUGUCUUAUAAAACCAGGGGAACCUGUCUCAUAACUCGAUAAUCCACGUAUAUUCAACCCCCUCUUGAUACACCAGCAUGUGUACUGCCGUUGUAAGCAUACCUUUAAAAGAAAGUGUGCUACUAUGACUAUUAACUUACUCAUUUACAUCAGGUCAAAGUGCAGCUAAUGAGGAGGAGAUGAUGGGUUACAACCCCAAAACAGACUAUCAACCAAGAAAUUAAAAACCUUAUGAAAGUGGACUUGACCGUAAUCGAUUUACAAGUUAAAAAAAUGAAUAAUAUCUAAGACAUGUACACAUCGCCCGUCACUCUAUCCUAAAGGAUAGAUAAGUCGUAACAAAGUAGGUGUAAUGGAAAUUGCGCCUGU